rnacentral:rRNA from 1 species
UACGGGGGGAGCAAGCGUUGUUCGGAUUUACUGGGCGUAAAGGGCGCGUAGGCGGUCAGCACAAGUCAGUUGUGAAAUCUCCGGGCUUAACUCGGAAAGGUCAACUGAUACUGUGCGACUAGAGUGCAGAAGGGGCAACUGGAAUUCUCGGUGUAGCGGUGAAAUGCGUAGAUAUCGAGAGGAACACCUGCGGCGAAGGCGGGUUGCUGGGCCGACACUGACGCUGAUGCGCGAAAGCCAGGGGAGCAAACGGG